rnacentral:rRNA from 1 species
AUUACGCUGGCGGCAGGCUUAACACAUGCAAGUCGAGCGGGGGAAGGUAGCUUGCUACNGGACCUAGCGGCGGACGGGUGAGUAAUGCUUAGGAAUCUGCCUAUUAGUGGGGGGACAACAUCUCGAAAGGGAUGCUAAUACCGCAUACGUCCUACGGGAGAAAGCAGGGGAUCUUCGGACCUUGCGCUAAUAGAUGAGCCUAAGUCGGAUUAGCUAGUUGGUGGGGUAAAGGCCUACCAAGGCGACGAUCUGUAGCGGGUCUGAGAGGAUGAUCCGCCACACUGGGACUGAGACACGGCCCAGACUCCUACGGGAGGCAGCAGUGGGGAAUAUUGGACAAUGGGGGGAACCCUGAUCCAGCCAUGCCGCGUGUGUGAAGAAGGCCUUAUGGUUGUAAAGCACUUUAAGCGAGGAGGAGGCUACUUUAGUUAAUACCUAGAGAUAGUGGACGUUACUCGCAGAAUAAGCACCGGCUAACUCUGUGCCAGCAGCCCGGGU